rnacentral:piRNA from 1 species
UAGGGAACUAGAUUAACUAUGCAAGAAGU